AGCUGCUGACGUUUCCAGUUUCCAUGCAGGAAGACAGGUAGGAGGAGAUUAUCUGGCAAAGAGAUUUGCAGAAUGUCGGGUGACCGGCAAAGAGAUCUGCAAAGUGUCAGUUGAAGACGACGGGAGGGGUCGCAGAGGAAUUAGUGACUGGAGAAUAGCAUGCAGGAGUGGGUGAUCCCUGAAUAGCUGCCCUGGGAGGAGAGCUGCGGACACAUGCUUCAAAUGUUGGGACAUAUGCAUUUCCUAUUAGGAGAUGCAGUAAAGAUGCCGGCUGUCUGGUUUACGGCAGUCAGAAUAUUGACACUGGGAUCUCGACAAUCCUCAGAAUCCCGACGUUGGAACUCCGAAUGGGCAAGGAUACUCGAUUCCCGUAUCCCCACGAUCAUAGGUUUAGGUCUGGGCAAGGGGGGUUAGUUUAGGCAUCAGGCACGGGGUGUUGGUCAGGCUGCAGGGGAGUGAGGGUUAAGUUUAUGUGUCAGGCAGAGGGGUUAGAUUUAGGCAUCAGGUGGGGGGUUAGGCUGCAGGUGUGGGCAGGUUUGGGUUAGGCUAUGAAUAGGGUGAGUUAGGCACCCUCGGGGGAG